rnacentral:rRNA from 1 species
ACAUACGACCAAAGGCACUUGAGAAUGACCGAUCCCGUUCGAUCUCGGAUAUCCAAGCUUGUGACCGGUCCAUUAGUAGUCGUGUGGGAGACCAGCGGCGAAUUCGGGCUGUUGUAUGUU